GUACUCACUUCAGCAGCACAUAUACUAAAAUUGGAAUGAUUCAGAGAUUACCAUGGCACCUGCGCAAGGAUGACACACAAAUUGGUGAAGCAUUCUAUAUUUUC
ensembl:snRNA U6 U6 spliceosomal RNA